rnacentral:rRNA from 1 species
AGUGAACGCUGGCGGUAGGCCUAACACAUGCAAGUCGAACGGCAGCACAGUAAGAGCUUGCUCUUACGGGUGGCGAGUGGCGGACGGGUGAGGAAUACAUCGGAAUCUACUUUUUCGUGGGGGAUAACGUAGGGAAACUUACGCUAAUACCGCAUACGACCUACGGGUGAAAGCAGGGGAUCUUCGGACCUUGCGCGAUUGAAUGAGCCGAUGUCGGAUUAGCUAGUUGGCGGGGUAAAGGCCCACCAAGGCCACGAUCCGUAGCUGGUCUGAGAGGAUGAUAAGCCACACUGGAAGUGAGACACGGUCCAGACUCCUAAGGGAGGCAGCAGUGGGGAAUAUUGGACAAUGGGAGCAAGCCUGAUCCAGCCAUACCGCGUGGGUGAAGAAGGCCUUCGGGUUGUAAAGCCCUUUUGUUGGGAAAGAAAAGCAGCAGGUUAAUACCCCGCUGUUCUGACGGUACCCAAAGAAUAAGCACCGGCUAACUUCGUG